ACACAAGAAGAAGAACAGGAAGAAGACAUGGCAUUGAUUGUGUACUACGUCACGGAAGUUAAUGCUUUUUGGACGUACCUAGAAUGCAUACGACUGUCGCGCCAAAAGCUCAUUAUUUUACUUUAUAAAGUUUUAAAUAAGGAUAGUUGUCUUACACAUAUGCAUCGAUUCGCUUCAGAAAGCCUUUAUUAACCCCCUGGAGUCGUAAAGGUUAAUUUUUUUAUGGAUGGAUGCUUUUUUUUUUUUUUGGUCUUCAAAAUUUGGGCAGCCAGAAUCUUCGAUUGUGUUCGUCUGAAAGAAGAUAGUCAUGUACACCUAGGAUGACUUGAGGACCCGUUACUCCAGCUGGUUUCUCUCCAGAAGGCGUCGGGCUGCUGGGAGCUGGACGCCACACUGGCGGAUGUGUUUGGGAAGACGGAGGAUGAGCUGACCAAUCAGAAACCAGCACAGGUGGAUGGGUCAGUAUGGGCCACUCUCCUGGCUCUGAUCUGGUUAUACGGCUGUAAAAUAGACCAGCAGGUCGAGUGGCAGUUUGUGGCCAUGAAGGCAGCGUCAUGGAUCGGCUCUCAGAAAGUGGGCGAUCUGUCUCAGUGUGUGUGUGUGGGUAAUGUCCUGCUCCGAUGUCAG